AUACACUAUUCACUUCAGGCAGUACGAAAUCUGAUAUCUUUCGCCGGAGCCCUCUGAAUAUCCGUUUAAGCUCAAAUUUGACAGUCAUGUUCGGUUUUGCUUAACUUAACGAAAGAAAUUUUAAUCUUUCAGUUUCGACCCCGUUUGGUCACCGAAAGCUGUACCGAACUAUAAUCUUUAUCAGAUCACUAUCGGAUUUUAUUUUCCACCUUCCGGGUAUCAGAAUGAUAUGAAACUUUAAAUCUAGCCUCAUAAAAAUAAUUCUGGCUAAUCCUCCAGUUUUCAGAAUUUUCUGACACUAUGCAUUUUCUGCUAAUUUAUCUGCCCCGUCUCUUACAGAAAAUUCUAAAUCUUCUGUUUCGCUCCGAUUUCAGCAUAGGUCAUUUCCAACUUAUACUUUACACUCUUAAAUCCAAUAAAAAUAGUAUAUCACACUAUUUUUAUUUAUAUUUAUUUUUAUAUUAAAAAUCCAGCAUACUACAUCCACCGUAACUGCAUAAUUUUAGAAGUUCGGUACCUUACAACAGAAGUUCGGUACCUUACAUCCUCCCCUCCUUAAAAAGAGUUUCGUCCUCGAAACUAACCAAAUUUCAACCCCAAUCACAUCCCAACUCGAUUUAUUGAGCAAUCGGGGAUUCCAAUGCACUUUUCCUUCUUAGAGUGGGCUUUCAUUCAUUGAAAUCAUCAAAGGCCCACUACGGAGGAUGUGAGACCAAAUUCACUCACAUUUGCUAAGUGUAACUCCAAAAGUGCAUUACCACCGUGGGAAGAACCACUCUUGUAAUAACCUCACGCGAACUCCUGUUCGUGAAUCCAAGCCUAAACUCGUCGACAAGGCUACUCGCCUACCGUUUAUCUCAGUCUCAUAGACGAACCACAGUUCACCAAUUCUACGUAGGUCUACCGCCUAAACCCGUCUCAACACAUAGCGUCUCUCGCUCGCAAGCGCAGACCCCAUCAUAACCAGGCGAAAUUCUCACUUGGGAAUUCGCACAUACUCCAACCAGGAGCAAUCAAGACCCCAAACCACUCUAAAUCCUCGGGUUGGGUCACCAUUGCACUCUUAGUGUAUCCAUGAUCACACGAUCUAACACGUGGCAUUCCACGCUCUCGGGUCUAAGCUCGGACUACCGUCCUGACCAAAUCUCUGCCUUACCCCGGGCCGCUGCCACCCAAAGCUGACUGCGCCUGUUCAUAGGGACCCAGGUUCCACAGUCCACGAAUGGUCCAGGCACGGAUCAUCCUCAAGCUAUACCCGCAACCGUCGUCUCCCACGACAUGCUCACCCUAGCAACACAUAUCACUAUUGGCUCCUAAGCACCUAAUGCGAGCCAUCAGCCCCACGAGUGAUCCCAGGCGCGCUUCACACUUAGUAAUGCUACAGUACUACUGCCUACACACUCUCCCGGCUGAGUCAACACCGUACUUCACGAGUACCUAUACCUGAGCGCUCUACGCGCCGUACACUAAUUCCGACAUUAGGCAACCCUGCCUAUGUGCACCGGCCACACGAGCACGACUCACCCACCUCACUUCGAGGUACUACUAGGCCCACGUGCUCUUGCUCGGACACUAACCGAUCGCCCUACCAUGAGUCUCACUUCUCGUCCAACAAUCAUCACCAGCAUUUUGCUAGUGCUAUCUAGCUCUUUACCUGCUCCAACAGGCGCUACACCAUCACCACAUAUGCAUACCCGGGUAUCUACACCAACCCGUCCACUUGGUCCCUACUAUCCAAUGCAUAAUAGUAGCGAACAACCAUAAAUAAAUGCAUGCAAUUCCUUAAGUCUACAUCAUGCAGAAGCGUAUGAUUACUUUAAUUAAAUCAUACCUGGCAUGGCGUCACACUCCUCAACCCCAGCAGGUCGCUCCGCUUGAGCGGCAAACACUCGACCACUCGGAGCCGACCGGGUCGCCUCAAGCCGUUGCGGCGCCAUCGCACGUCCCGCCGAUACUGCAGCAGGCGGAACUCCACCCGACUGCCCCGGAGUCACUGGGGCGGAUGCAAUAGACGGUGCAGGCGACGAUCCUUCUGGGCACUGACGGCUAAUAUGCCCCGCCUGACCACACCUGAAGCAUCGUCCCGCCCUAUGCUCACAGUUUCCUGCGCGAUGCUCCCCACCGCAAAUUACACAUCAUAUAGGUCCCUAGCUCUCAAACUGCCUCCUCGGGUACUUCGGGAGCUUCUUGGAACUCGACUAUCCCCUCGAGCUACCGCCAGGCCGUUUCUUCGCCUUAUCCUUCUCGGACGCCUCUCGUUCUUCUCGCACGUGGGCAUCGCCAUGCUCCGCCCACAAUGCUCGAUCAAAAACCUCAGCAAAGGUAGUGAGCUUGAAUAUUUGCACAGCCUUAUAAAUCCCCGGCCGAAGUCCUCGCAAGAACCAGUCGGCCCGGUCCCGGUCAUCUCGAGCAACCUCCAGGACACAAUCUAUGAUGUGGGAGAACUCCUGCUCGUAGUCCGCUACCGAGCGAUCCCCCUGCCUCAACUUGCGAAACUUCUCCUGCAGUUUUCGCCUCACUGUGUCGGCAAAAUAGUUGGCGAACAUCGCCCUCUUAAACUCCUCCCAUAAUAUAGGUGGAAGGUCAGAAGGCCAAUCUCGCUUCACCCGUUUCCACCACACCUUCGCCGCUUUCCCAAGGCAAUGGGUGGCGAGAUACACCCUGUCUUUCUCCGAGGUAUAGAGAUCCUCAAAAAGUAUCUCCAUUGAGUCAAUCCAUGACUCCACCAUCGACGGCUCCACUUUCUCCCCUUCAAAGAUUGGUGGGUUGAACUUCUUGAAUCUGAUAAGAGCCGUCAACGAACGCUCUCGCUCCAUCUCCUCGGCCGCCGCAUCAGGUGUCGCCGAUCCCGACGCUACUGGAGGAACAAUUGCUGGCGGGGGACGUGUUGCUACCGGAACCGCCGCUAUACCCUCACCCUCAGCCACAUCAGGCGCGUGCACCAGGGGUGCGGGCGGGUCACGACCUCCAGUCGCCAUCGCAGCCACCGCUGCCAUUUGCCGCUCCAAGAGCUCCUGGAGCUGCUCAAAUCGGGUCUCCUGGCACUGCACCACAUUGGUCAAUGCGGUCACUUGCGCCCGUAACUCUUGCACCUCGCUAGGCCCAGCUGACUCUGGCGCCUCGGGAGGUCCAGCCUGCUCUGGCGCCUCCGAAGACGGUGCCGGAACAGAUCUGCGCGUGUAGCGUCUUGGGGACAUUAGUUCCUGCAACGCAACAACCGGGUUAAUUAACUUAACCUACCAACUCGCUCGCGAUCACAACUACGCGACUCAACGUCGCAAACUAGGCGGAAGCACGUAAGUGUACUCAUUCUAAACUCUCGGCGUCAUGUUGUCGGCCGCCCAACACUACCACUUCGAGCCAAGAACUCAUACCACUUGAAUCCAUCUCUAGCCACGACUAGAAACAUACAAUUACUUCGACCCAAUUAAUCAACUCCCGCCACCGUAUAGGUCCACGUUCCACUCACGCACCUAUAACCUUACGGUUUCCUAACCUAAGUUUCUCUAGGUCAAUCCUAGACUCUCUCUCUUUACUUGCUCUUAACUUGCUCUGAUACCAUACCUGUCACGCCACGCCCCGAGACCGCUACCAAUAUGGUCCGGUUCGGGCGCGCCGGACGGACGCCGAACGGACAGCAUCUCCCCUGUCCGCCCAAGGCUCAACACAGGAUCAUGUACAAAGAAUUUGCCCAGGGAUAAUUCAAUACAUACACGAUCCAACAAGGAGAGAAGCACAAAGAGUGCAAUACAACAAGAGCAAGUAACACAAGUAUACAUACAAGUGCAUAAAGAGAGAUACAUCUAGCUAUUACAUCACAUUCCACUUUUACAUCUUUGAUUACAUUUACAUUUUCAUCAUCACCCAAAAUGAAUACAUAAUCAUCUCACAUAUAUAUAAUGCUAGCUAUCCAAAAUACAUCAUGUCAUCUAUAACCAUGCACACGAGGGUGCUCUAGUACAAUAGGAAAGCUCUACUAGCUAGCUAGGGCGCUACGCCCUUACCGCGAUCACCUGCCGGUCCGCUCUCGUGUGUACUUACCCCAAAACCACACGGGGUAGAAACUAUAUAAAUAUAGUUCCCAGUGGGUCGGCAGACUCCGCGCGAUUUCCCACAUAGGUUGCUAAGUGGCCACAAAUAGAUAGUAGAGCAGAUAGAUAAAUAUUGAACUUGCAACAUAUGAUCUAUUUGUGCCAUCAAAUGCAAGCAAUGCAUGAAAUAUCAUCUAGCAAUAAGCCUAUAUUAUGCUAGAUAUGCUUCAACAAUGUAAAUGAUACGGUAUACAACAUGAGUUAUGCAAUCCACUAUCAUAUACUAUGUUUACCAUGGGAUGAAUUAGGAAACUCACUUAUGCUAGUUCAUGUUUCAUUAAACAACCCAUCAUCAUAGGCUACCCGCGCUGAAGAUCUUCAAAUCUCAUAUGUACUCACACUACAAGUCGUUAGAUAGGUGAAGAUGUGAAGAACUGACCCUGCUUCUUCUCCUGCACUGUAUAUCCUGCAAAUCUCAUAGUUGAGGAGUAUCCCCUGCUGCGUUCUCACCCGUCUUCACAUCUCAAAGAUCAUAGCAAUGAAUAGGCUGACCAGCUCUAAUUCUAGGGUAGAUGAUUACGCCCGCCUCAUUCACUCAUAAGCUAAUGAAUCUACCCGCUCAAUCACUUAUAGGAAGGGCUAGCCCCGCCAUUCGCCCCAAACUCAGUUCCCAGUCAGAUGGGUGAGGAGCUUACCUCCGUCGUAUCCCACCCGUGUGAACCACCGCUCUAGGUUGAGCUACCCCAGCUCGUGUGUACAACUCCAGAGUGGCAUGCUUGGUGGACGUCGGACCACCACAAGCUCAACAAACAGGACUAGGUGAGUAUGAGUCGCAAUCCUCGCCAACUGAAAUACCCUAGUGAACAUAGCGUUAACAAAACACAUCGAAAAUCCACGGUAUCCUUUAGCGAUCCAAUGUCAAGUGUCUUCUCAACCACACUAUCAAUCACACUAGAGGAAUUAAACUAUCCCUAUGUUUGAUGCCCAUAGUGUUCAUCAAUUUACAUAAAUUCUCAUGGCCAAUAUGCCACGAAUAGGGAAAACUCACCUAUUCCCUGAUGCCUCAAUGCCACAAGUGUUUUUUAUUACACUAAUUCCAAAUGACUACUCGAUAUGUUGUAUACAUUGUUAUACAUGCCACUCGUCAAGUCAUAGUGUGUUUCUGUACACUAUUUUGCAUGUCAUAGUUUUCAUUAUCAAGUCGAAGUUCACUAUUUUCCUUAUCACUAUGGAUCUCAUGUCACAAAACUCUAAAUCCUCAUGCAUUCUAGAAUGUAAGUAUUCAAGCCAUAAUGGCUAACACAACUGACAUUGCAAUGCAAGGAAAUAGAAAUACAACCUAUACUACAUGCUAUACAUGUCAUAAGGAACAAUAUGUACAUAUGACCAAAAAUGCCUAAAUCGAGAAUAGAAGAGCCCAGUUGUUUUGGAUGACACCCCGCCCCACGCCCCCCCCACCUUUUAUCGCUAGCACGAGGCUCUAGGGUCCGAUUGUUUCGGAUUUUUGGAAGCUCGCCGCGAGCGCUCGGCAAUCUGUACCUUUAACGGGCUUCGUUCUUUAAUUCUUCACGUAAGCCUCGUCGUAUCGCCGAACCGAUUCGCCGACGCAGUGCAGAAAACCUAGCAAUUAGUUAUACAUGAUCAAUUAUAGAUCAAACCCUCACAUAUUGCAAAAUCCCAUUUUUGAGCCCGUAACAUUGCAAUUAUCUCAAAUAAUUCCAAAUUAAAGGCAACAUGCUUAAGAUGCUUAUUAGAGGUAUAGAACAUCUUUAGUUACAGGAUUUAAGCCACCCAAGUUACCAAAAUCGGAACGCGAGAUGAAGCACGCCGUACACGGCGCGCAUCGAUAUGCUCGCAUCCGUCGCUGCCAACGCGUUCGCAAAGCCGUUCUCCUCGCCAACGCGUGUGAAUUUGGGCGAAAGAUCGGAGAGAGAUGAUGAGAGUUAUUUUAGAGAGAGCGAAUGAGAAUUUCUCUCACUACCACCAUGAACGUGUGGUGUUGUCGGGGUGGUGGCGGCUGUGAAGAAGAAGAAGACUAGAAGCUUCUACUUAUAGUCAACACUCCAAUAGUAGCAUACACUAUUCACUUCAGGCAGUACGAAAUCUGAUAUCUUUCGCCGGAGCCCUCUGAAUAUCCGUUUAAGCUCAAAUUUGACAGUUAUGUUCGGUUUUUCUUAACUUAACGAAAAAAAUUUUAAUCUUUCAGUUUCGACCCCGUUUGGUCACCGAAAGCUGUACCGAACUGUAAUCUUUAUCAGAUCACUAUCGGAUUUUAUUUUCCACCUUCCGGGUAUCAGAAUGAUAUGAAACUUUAAAUCUAGCCUCAUAAAAAUAAUUCUGGCUUAUCCUCCAGUUUUUAGAAUUUUCUGACACUGUACAUUUUCUGCUAAUUUAUCUGCCCCGUCUCUCACAGAAAAUUCUAAAUCUUCUGUUUUCGCUCCGAUUUCAGCACAGGUCAUUUUCAACUUAUAAUUUACACCUUUAAAUCCAAUAAAAAUAGUAUCUCACACUAUUUUUAUUUAUAUUUAUUUUUAUAUUAAAAAUCCAGCAUACUACAUCCACCGUAACUACAUAAUUUUAGAAGUUCGGUACCUUACAACAGAAGUUCGGUACCUUACAAUUAUUACUCAAAUUGGAGUACC
rnacentral:lncRNA from 1 species